rnacentral:rRNA from 1 species
AACGUAGGUACCGAGCGUUAUCCGGAUUUACUGGGCGUAAAGCGCGUUCAGGCGGUUUGGCAAGUCGGGCAUGAAAUCUCUCGGCUCAACCGGGAGAGGUUGUCCGAUACUGCUGGACUUGAGGGCAGUAGAGGGUGGUGGAAUUCCGGGUGUAGUGGUGAAAUGCGUAGAGAUGUGGAGGAACACCGAUGGCGAAGGCAGCCCCCUGGGCUAACACUGACGCUCAUGCACGAAAGCGUGGGGAGCAAACAGG